ensembl:lncRNA
AAAUGGUGUUCAUGAAGGCAGUGUGAAUCACAAGUUAUGCUCGGGAGCAGUUUAUGUGGGUUCAAUGAGAGUGUGCGUCCAUAAGACUGCAUUGUUCAUGAGGGAUCGAAUGCAAGCAUGUGCCCAGAGUCCUCACCUUUCAGUAUCUCUAAUGGUGAAACAGGACAACCUAUGGAAGAAACUAAUUUCUGCUGCUUGUGGCCAUAGUUCAGGGGUUUGUGAUUCAGUAGAUGGAGCAGCUGUUUGUGCAUAAGAACAGACUUCUAGCCCUGAACAACAACCUAAAGGUAGGAAGCAAGGCUUCAGGCUUGGAGGGACUAACUCUACUCUAUGCUGCAGGAGUUCAUCACCCAAUUAGGCCAAGAGGAACACAUCAUUUACAAAAAGAAAAGAUGUGAUCCCGAGUCCACUAAUACCUGUACUUGUCAAUAUUAAGUGCUAAGAAGACAACACAUUGACACUACAGAGAUAUUUGAUUACAUGUUAAUGCCUAAACAUUGGUUAAACUUUUGCAAUGAAGUUGCAGUGAAGUUAAAAUUAAGAUUUUUGCAACUUCAUUUCAGUUUUUGGUUUUAAUAUCAGUCUUGUGUUUUUGUUUCCGUAUGGCACCAAAUAUCUGGAGGUUUGUUUAAUAAUGUGGAUGUCUUUAUGAUCUUUGUGACACAAAUUAAAUUUUACUUCUAUAUUUACUUCUAUUUUACUUCUAUAUAUUAAUUCACAACAACAGUUGCCUCAAAACCCAACCCAAACAUAAUCAUGAGUUUACUGUACUGAAAUGGCAUCCAUAAUCACCAGAACUUAAUCCAACAGUGAACCUUUGGGAUAUUCAAAUGACAAAUCUGCAGCAACUGUAUGAUGCUGUCGUGUCAAUAUGGACCAAAAUGUCUAAGGAAUGUUUCCAGCCCCUUGUUGAAUCUGUUGAAAACAAUUGAGGCAGUCCUGAAGGCAAAAGAUGUAUCUAAUAAAGUGUCUUGUGAGUGCACACAUUAGAGAAUAUGUUGUUGUAUAUUAGAGUAAUUUAUUGCAUGUGCUGCAUUUUGUCAUCUGCCUUCUCAGACUUUGGUUCAUCAAUGCUGUAACUCGCAGACAAUCCCUCCACAGUUAUCAAUGGCAGACUGAACUAUCAGUGUGUGUGUGUGUAUGUGUGUGUGUGGGUGUGUGUCUGUGUGUGCUUGGCCUGAGAUAACUGGGGUCAGGAAGGCACCAGUCAUAGGACAACCAAUGAAAUAUUUAUAGGAAUACAACACUAGAAGGUUUUACUGUACAGAGCAAAUUCACUGUAUAUAACUGUGACGGCAAGUCUGCACACACGAGUUCAAGACAUCACCAAGAAGAUAUAACAAUAAAGAAAGUGUCUACACAAGGACCAGUUCUUCUUUUAGUUUAUUCAUGUUUAUUUUUAACCAUGAGGUGAUUUUAACCACCCUCACUGACAAUCCUGUGUGGAGUAUUGUUCUCUUCCUGGGAUCUAGUCCUAAUUGUUUUUUUGUUUUUUUAAUACAGUUUGACAUUUAGGUUCUCUUAAUGUUCCACAC